rnacentral:rRNA from 1 species
AGUGGCAGACGGGUGAGUAACACGUGGGAACAUGCCCAAAGGUACGGAACAACUUCGGGAAACUGGAGCUAAUACCGUAUGUGCCCGAAAGGGGAAAGAUUUAUCGCCUUUGGAUUGGCCCGCGUCGGAUUAGCUAGUUGGUGGGGUAAUGGCCUACCAAGGCGACGAUCCGUAGCUGGUCUGAGAGGACGACCAGCCACACUGGGACUGAGACACGGCCCAGACUCCUACGGGAGGCAGCAGUGGGGAAUCUUGGACAAUGGGCGAAAGCCUGAUCCAGCCAUGCCGCGUGGAUGAUGAAGGCCCUAGGGUUGUAAAAUCCUUUCGUUGGGGACGAUAAUGACGGUACCCAAAGAAGAAGCUCCGGCUAACUUCGUGCCAGCAGCCGCGGUAAUACGAAGGGGGCUAGCGUUGUUCGGAUUUACUGGGCGUAAAGCGCAUGUAGGCGG